GCUGGCGGUAUGCUUACACAUGCAGUCGAACGGAACUUCGGGUUUAGUGGCGGACGGGUGAGUAACGCGUGAGAAUCUGCCUCUAGGUCGGGGACAACAACUUGGAAACGGUUGCUAAUACCCGAUGUGCAGCAAUGUGAAAGAUCUAUUGCCUAGAGAUGAGCUCGCGUCUGAUUAGCUAGUAGGGUGUGGGU
rnacentral:rRNA from 1 species